CGGACGCUGGCGGCGUGCUUCAAACAUGCAAGUCGAACGGUAGUUAAUUUUGAAGCUUGCUUUAGAAUUUAACUUAGUGGCGGACUGGUGAGUAACGCGUGAGUAAUCUGCCUAUCACAGGGGGAUAACAGAGGGAAACUUCUGCUAAUACCGCAUAAGACCACAGGAUGGCAUCAUCAAGGGGUCAAAGGUUAGAUCUGGUGAUAGAUGAGCUUGCGUAUCAUUAGCUAGUUGGUGAGGUAACGGCCCACCAAGGCGACGAUCAGUAGCCGGCCUGAGAGGGUGAACGGCCACAUUGGGACUGAGACACGGCCCAAACUCCUACGGGAGGCAGCAGUGGGGAAUAUUGCACAAUGGGGGAAACCCUGAUGCAGCGACGCCGCGUGAGUGAAGAAGUAUUUCGGUAUGUAAAGCUCUAUCAGCAGGGAAGAAAAUGACGGUACCUGACUAAGAAGCCCCGGCUAACUACGUGCCAGCAGCCGCGGUAA
rnacentral:rRNA from 1 species